GCCCUCGUACCUCACCUGGAUAGAGGAAUCGCCUCCGAAGCGGUCAGUAGUUGGUUCAAGUCCAAUCGAGGGCGCCA
rnacentral:tRNA from 1 species